CCGGAUUUAUUGGGCGUAAAGGGCGCGUAGGCGGUCACGCACGUCCGUUGUGAAAUCGCUCGGCUCAACUGGGCGGGGUCAGCGGAUACGGUGUGACUGGAGCAAGCUAGGGGGCAAUGGAAUUCCCGGUGUAGUGGUGGAAUGCGUAGAUAUCGGGAGGAACACCAGUGGCGAAGGCGGUUGCCUGGAGCUUUGCUGACGCUGAUGCGCGAAAGCGUGGGGAGCGAUCCGG
rnacentral:rRNA from 1 species